UACGUAGGGGGCAAGCGUUGUCCGGAUUUAUUGGGCGUAAAGCGCGUGUAGGCGGCCAGGUAGGUCCGUUGUGAAAACUCGAGGCUUAACCUCGAGAUGUCAUCGGAAACCAUUUGGCUAGAGUCCGGAAGAGGAAAGUGGAAUUCCUGGUGUAGCGGUGAAAUGCGCAGAUAUCAGGAAGAACACCAAUGGCGAAAGCAGCUUUCUGGGACGGUACUGACGCUGAGACGCGAAAGCGUGGGGAGCGAACAGG
rnacentral:rRNA from 1 species